AAUAUACCUUAAAGCUACAAAAGUUUUGUCAAAACAUUGAUCCAUUUUAAAAUAUGGCAUAAAAACAUUUAUAUCAGGGCAUUUUCAAACCAAAAGUUUAACUACGAAAUUGGUGAGAUAUUCAAGCCAUUUCGUUUUGUAAACAAUUUUUUUCGCAACAUUUAAUGUUAUGAAUGUGAAUCAAUAGCAUUUGGAACAGUUUUUUUUUCAAAACAUAUCCGCCAUAAUUACCAACUUACUAAGAAAACAAUAAAGGCGCUUUGCUUAUUUGAAAAUCCACAAGGCAAUACCAAUCUAGCCGGUUAGCCUUAGAUAGGAUGCACCAAAAGUACAUUUAUAAUUUUUUUAAAAACGCCGACCUAGAAAGCGCGUCACAAGUUUAGCGCAUGCGUUUUUCAAAUCUUAAAGUCCUCGUGAAUUCAAAGUAAUUUUUUUGUAUUUAAAACGAGUUCACUUUAUAUUCUUGACAUCAAAAUGAAUGAAAAAAACUUUUGCCAAGAUUUAGAAGAUGUAGCGAAUGCCCUAAGAAGUCAUCAUAGAGCACCACGGAUGAGCAUAUAUUUGGAAGUUCACGCCUCCUUCCUGACCGAUGUCGCAAAGAAUCCGUAGUUCAAAGCGCUUAGAGGUGGGGUUGGAACUACGGAUUCUUUGUUUCUCAAACACGCAAUAACGAUGUAACAUAACAUAACAUUUAAAAACUUAUUUGAAUAGCAUUAAA